rnacentral:rRNA from 1 species
UACAGAGGGGGCAAGCGUUGUCCGGAUUUACUGGGCGUACAGCGCGCGCAGGCGGUUGCGUAUGUGAGCGGUGACAUCCGCGGGCUCAACCCGCGGCGGCCCGCUUACACAGCGCGACUGGAGGCAGGGAGAGGGAUGUGGAAUACCCGGUGGAGCGGUGAAAUGCGUAGAUAUCUGGAGGAAUACCGGUGGCGAAGGCGGCAUCCUGGACCGACAUUGACGCUGAGGAGCGAAAGCUAGGGGAGCAAACGGG